ncrna:unclassified sequences Glutamine riboswitch
UACGUUCAUCCUAAUUUAUUCAAAUUAGGACGGAAGUAGUCGAAAGACGAAGGAACGCAUU